CUAUCCUUGCCUGGGCUUUGGGAAAACCCUUCCCCGGGGCUUCAGAGAUGCUCCUGCAGAGGGAGGUGAUGUGUCAGCUGCUGACUGUCAACAUGAUGCCAUGGAAAAAUCAUAUUGAUGGGGCGCAGAUUGCUGUGCCUGCUUGCUCUGCCAUCUGCAGACCCCACGACCAAGGCAGUAUUGGAGGUGGCAGGGAUGGGACUCUCUCUCACUAGCCAGUUCCAAUUUGCUUUCUAAUUUGCUCCAACCUGGUGAGUGCUGCUGGGGUCAAUCUGUAACCUUUUCUUCCUUCCCAACAUUCUCUGGCUUUGCCAGACUUUGCAGCAUGCAUGCAGGCUGCUCAGUCAAGCCUGGGCAGCUGCCAUUUCUGCGGCCUCUUCUGAGAACCUCCUAGUUACCUUCUGACUUCGUACGCCUCUUAUUGUGCCCAAGUCCGAACUCAUGCCCAAAUCCAAACUCGUGCCCAAAUUGUUCUGCCCCUCUUCAUUCAUACCCCUCUCUGGCCUUCAGAGCAUCUGCUGGCUGCUCUCCUUUGCUGAUUUGCUGGGGUUUGAGUAAGCCUUUUAUUAAGCUGUUUUCAGUGCUUAGGGAAGAAGACUGCAAUUGCUCACAAAGAACUCAUAGCAACCUCUCUCUGGGAUUUUUGCAGGCCUCCUCAGCACCCUCCCUACCUCCUGUGUCUCCUUGUACCUUUCCAUUUCAUUAAUUACUGCCUGAUCAAGUCUCUGGAAGCAAAACUCUGACUGUGACCCUUCCUCACUCACAGACCUCCAUAGCUCCCGUCAGCUCUCAUGUUGGCCCAAACUCUGCUGUCAUUUAAGGCCUUUCUUACUUUCAUCCAAACCAAACUUUCCAGACUUAUUUUGACUUUCUCCUUUUCACACAUCCUGCACUCCUGGAAAACAACCACUUCUAUUUCUGUCUGAAGCGCAUGCUGCCACACACCCAGCCUUUGAUCAGGCCGUGCCUUCUGCCUGGAACUCUUGUUCUCUUCCUUUUUCUUACUUCUCUCUCAAGGUUCAGUCACAGCUCUCUUGCCCCCAGACUAAAAGCCCUCCUCCCCUUCUGUGAUCUCACAACAUCUAGCCAUGCCUCUCUGACCGCGUGUCUCCCUGGCCGCCAUGGGUUGGAUUUACAUGUGUUUGUGCCUUGCCUGCAGCUUGGAGUUGCUCUAGUGAAGGAACUGACCAAUUCAUCUUUGAAUCUCUCACUGUGACCAGCACAGUGUCCUGCAUAUAGUGGAAAAAUCUAAAAGAGAUGACAAACCUCAUGGUUUCUCAGUUAAUACUUAAAUUGAAAAACUACUGAAUUAACACGAGGACGUUGAUUUUUUUUUUCUUUUGGUCCAAACAACAUUCUCAUCUGUUUCUUUCCCCAAAGUCCCUUUGUAUCCAUUUUUAUCCCACAGACAUGACUUUCAAAAUAUAGACUGUGAUCUUUUCAAGGUAGUAAGUCAAAUCACCUUUUAAUAAGCUCUAAGGGAUUUAUGAACUUACUGUAAGUCAAUUCCUUCCUCCCUCCCUUCUUUACCUUCCUUCCUUCCAAACUGGAAUUUUAUUAUCUCAGAUAUAUUGCUUGAAAAAAGCCAGGCAGAGGCUGUGGGUGGGAAAUCAUUUGGUUAUAAAGAGCUACUUUCUGUAAUGGGAUCUGACCUGUAUUAUAGCGUGUCUGAACAUACACCAGGCUUUAACUCUCUUCUGCUCUAGAAUUCAAGCUUGCUCCAAAGGUUAUUUGCUACCCACGGUUGACUCUCAUGCAAUUUCUUUGGCCCCUAUGGUCUUCUCAUUAAGAAAAAUAAUGAUAAAAAUAAUUCUUUACAUUCGUCUUUCUUCAACUGGUAUUUACAAGGAUUUACUGUGUCUCAGGCACUCUGCCAAAAGUUGGGGUAUACAGUCCACCAGGAUGUAGUCACCUUACCCCCCAUUUCCUUAUGGAACCCUCAUAACAAGCUUGUGGAUUAGACUGAGCAGGUGGUAAUGACCUCAUUAUAUAAACAAAGACAUGGUAAUUCAGAGUGUUCGUGAAAUGCUCAGAAGUUCAGCAUCCUUCUUUAUGGUCACUCAGCAAGAAGCAAGCAAGAGGAGCUCGGUUUUAACUUCCUGUUGGAUGUUUUUCCCUCUGGACCCCAGGUUUGUGCUGGGAACCCUGGAUUCAGGCGCCCUGCAUGCUCACUUCCAGACAAGAGGCGGCAGCCCUUGCAUGCUGCAAGACCGCUUUCCUCAUCUCUGCUUCUGCUAACCUGAUCUAAACCCAAGAAUGUGAGCUGAAAAGGAGACUUUUGGGGUCUGGUUCUAGAUUCCUGCCCAGACUUCAGUAUAGGCUGGAAAUUGAGCAACAGUGGGCUAAGGAGUCCUCAAGAGUGGGGUCAGGUCAUCCUGAAGGGAUGGUCUCAUAGCCCCUCUGUUGUGGGAGCCUGAAGACAGGUGCACCAGGUGACCCAGUCCUGUCUGAGCAGAGGCUCCAAGAAAGUGAGAUAAUCUAGUAACACCUCAGACUCACCACCCCACCCCAUGCCCAUUGUAAAGAAUUUCCUCAGGCAGCCAUGAGGGACAUGCCCCAGACUGCCUGAGCCUGUGAAUGAGGAAAGGUUUGAGAAGAAAGUGAAUGACUGAAGGUGUUAUCUAGAGAUGAGAAAUGCCUUGGGUAACAGUGGAUUUUAACUUUAAACACCGAGCAAUGUAAAUUCACUGCACCCUCCAAAUUUAGAAAAAUAUAAAAGAAAAA
rnacentral:lncRNA from 1 species